rnacentral:rRNA from 1 species
GACGUAGGGCGCGAGCGUUUGUCCGGAUUUAUUGGGCGUAAAGAGCGUGUAGGCGGUUUGGUAGGUCCGUUGUGAAAACUCGAGGCUCAACCUCGAGACGCCGAUGGAAACCAUCAGACUAGAGUCCGGAAGAGGAGAGUGGAAUUCCUGGUGUAGCGGUGAAAUGCGCAGAUAUCAGGAAGAACACCCGUGGCUAAGGCGGCUCUCUAGUACGGUACUGACGCUGAGACGCGAAAGCGUGGGGAGCGAACAGG